rnacentral:misc_RNA from 1 species
AACGGUCUAUACCUGCGGUACCUGCGGAAGGAUCAUUACCGGUGUUCAGGCUCUCGAUUCCGAUCCUGACCCUCAACCCAAUGUUUACCCUACCUCUCUCCUUCGGCGGCGAGCGGCAACCUGCGCAAGCGGGACCGCCCCGCCGGUCUUUACAAACCUGCCUUUAACGGUGUUGUCUGAGCAUUUGCAAGUUAAAAAUUAAAAACUUUCAGCAAUGGAUCUCUAGAUCGGAAGAGCACA